AUACGGAGGGUGCAAGCGUUAUUCGGAAUUACUGGGCGUAAAGGGCGCGUAGGCGGCGCAUUAAGUCAGUUGUGAAAGCCCGGGGCUCAACCCCGGAAGUGCAAUUGAAACUGGUGUGCUUGAGUAUGGUAGAGGGAAGUGGAAUUCCUGGUGUAGCGGUGAAAUGCGUAGAUAUCAGGAGGAACACCCGUGGCGAAGGCGACUUCCUGGACCAAUACUGACGCUGAGGCGCGAAGGCGUGGGGAGCAAACAGGAUUAGAAACCCUUGUAGUCC
rnacentral:rRNA from 1 species